CCGUCUAAUACCGGAUACGACCCGCCACCUCAUGGUGGAGGGUGGAAAGUUUUAUCGGUCAGGGAUGGGCUCGCGGCCUAUCAGCUUGUUGGUGGGGUAACGGCCUACCAAGGCGAUUACGGGUAGCCGGCCUGAGAGGGCGACCGGCCACACUGGGACUGAGACACGGCCCAGACUCCUGCGGGAGGCAGCAGUGGGGAAUAUUGCACAAUGGGCGAAAGCCUGAUGCAGCGACGCCGCGUGGGGGAUGACGGCCUUCGGGUUGUAAACCUCUUUUACCACCAACGCAGGCUCCACGUUCUCGUGGGGUUGACGGUAGGUGGGGAAUAAGGACCGGCUAACUACGUGCCAGCAGCCGCGGUAAUACGUAGGGUCCGAGCGUUGUCCGGAAUUAUUGGGCGUAAAGAGCUCGUAGGCGGCAUGUCGCGUCUGCUGUGAAAGACCGGGGCUUAACUCCGGUUCUGCAGUGGAUACGGGCAUGCUAGAGGUAGGUAGGGGAAACUGGAAUUCCUGGUGUAGCGGUGAAAUGCGCAGAUAUCAGGAGGAACACCGGUGGCGAAGGCGGGUUUCUGGGCCUUACCUGACGCUGAGGAGCGAAAGCAUGGGGAGCGAACAGGAUUAGAUACCCUG
rnacentral:rRNA from 1 species